rnacentral:rRNA from 1 species
CACAAGAUAAGGCUCACGCGCAACAUGCGGGCACAGUCUAAUCCUUGGUUCUCCGAAUACCUCCUAAGGAUCGGCAAUGGAACGGAAGAGACAAUUGGAGACGACUAUGUCCGUCUCCCUGAUGAUGUCAUGAUCGGCUAUACCGAGGAUGAAAAAGCUAUUAACACGCUCAUCGAAAAGGUCUUCCCAUUGUUGCAUGCCAAUGCUAGAUCGAGAGAGUACAUGAGCGCACGUGCUAUUCUUUCGACCAAGAACGAUCAUGUCGAUGACCUGAAUGACAAGAUGAUCUCCAGGUUUCCAGGCGAAGAAAAGUUAUACCAUAGCUUCGACUCAAUCGAGGAUGACUUGAAAAAUAAUUACACAAUUGAUUUUCUAAACUCGAUCACACCAAAUGUCUUGCCACCGUAUGUAUUGAGAUUAAAGGUCAACUGCCCGGUCAUUCUGCUCCAGAACCUCAACCCUCAUAAUGGCCUAUGCAAUGGGACACGACUUAAGAUUAGAGCCUUCCAGGAUAAUGCAAUCGACGCAGAGAUUGUUGGUGGUUGA